GCAGACUGUGUUUGUCUAUUGUUGUGAAUAAAAUGAAGAUCGGAACACAUUUGAUGACCAAUUUAUGCAGAAAUUCAAGAAACCUCAAAGGGUUCACAUACUUUUUCUAGCGACUGUAUUUUGCGCUAGGGUGGUGGUUCUAAAUGUGGGGAUUGGGACCCUCAUUGGGGUCAUGAGACACUAAGGGAGCCCUUUGUUUAUCAAGUGACAGUCUAUACAUACAUAGUAAAUAAAAGCAUGAUUGCACCACAUUUAGUAAACUGCUACCUUCCAAUUAUUGCCUCACAUGGAUUGAAGCAAUAUAUAUAUAUAUAUAUAUAUAUGCAUCCAGUUAUUUAAAUUUAAAAUAAAAACAUAGUCAUGUGGUUAGAUUUAUGCUGAAUCAAAGUUUUUUAAAAGUUAAGUUAAGCCACCUUCAGGUACAGUGCAGGUCCUAGGUCUUUGGCACCUAUUUUGGGAGUCACGGGCUAAAAAGUUUGAGACACCCUGCUCUAGAAUUCUGUUUUAUUUCAGUGACAAAGGACAUAGAGUCCACAUAAGGAUUGCAACAAACAUGAAAGCUUUUCUUUUUGUAAAAAUAUUUGACCAAAUGAUAGGCUCAUUAUCAAACACUGAAUAUUUUAUUUGAAGUAACUGUGAGAAUAAUUCUGUUUGUGUGGAAUUUGGCGCCCCCUGUGGACAAAGUAGUAUGACAUCCCUUUUAAAACACUGAUAAUCUUAAAGGGGACAUAUUAUACCCUUAUGAGACAAGUUUAUGUUGUUCUCAGAGGUCCCCAAAACAUGCCUGUGAAGUUUGUUGCUGAAAAAAACAAAACACUCCAGUACUGGAUUUUUGCAUGUCUAAAAACCCCUCUUAGGUGGUGGGCCAAGGCUGCGUAUCUGCUUUAGUUUUUGAAAAUAACGAUCUCCACCGAGGGAGGAGCCAGAUUUCUCAAAUUAUAAAGAUUAUUUUACUAUAAAUCAGAUUCUGUUUGUUGUCACUCGAAAUACUGGCACAUUUUUCUGCUACCGUAACCUAAAAUUCGUUAAUUUUUCAGGCAAAAGCCGCUGCCUACUAUAACAUUUGGCCAAUAGCAGGCUACGAUUCUUACGCCGUUGGCCAAUCAGAGACUGCAUUAGAUUGAGAACUGGUGUUCAACACUAAAGGAUGGUGUAGGUACACCUAUACCUGCAGAAUCAGUCACCUGAAAGUUGUUCUGCUGUUGGAAAGUAAAAGGGAUGAGGAAGAGGAGGAGAAGACAGCACCCUCAGGGAUCAUCUCCUCAGCUGUCAGAUUGUCGACAUAAAACUAUACACUUUAUUGGGAGAAGGUGUGGAGCCUGUUAGGAUCUUUAGAACUCUGCAGUAUGUGACCAUAGGGUUCUCAUCCUUGCUGGCAUGUCCUCAUCCAUUGUGUGGAGCACUGGAGCGCAGUUUGAUGGUGUUUUUAAGUCUCCUGUUUAUGUGUUUGUAUAAAAUCAUAUAGUGAUGGAGAUAUACACUGAAUGCUUUGUUUCAAAUCCUGCUCAGCACUUCAUUGUCAGUGGAAUACACAAUGAUUGAGUGAGGUGUGUAAUGUAACACAGUAGCCUUACCUUAAACCUGAUCAGACAUAUGCCUGUUUAAAGCUGCUGUUUGAUUUACUACUCUGAAAAACUCUCAUGGGUCUCCUACUGUUAAUUCUGUGCCUUUUAAUGCAAUUUUUGUAACAGUUGUAACCUGCCAAGGUACUUGAAAUUUUGGUAGUUAACUCUUUUCCAAUGCAUCAUAUGGCAACAUUUAAACCUGAAUGUAUGUCCUUUUAAAAAUACUCGAGUGGGUAAAUGUGAUAUGAUUUAUCAUUGGGUCAGAAUCAUCUUGUUGCUAAAGACUGCAGUCUCAGUUGAGAUAUCUAAGUUGUGUUUUUCUGAGAACUGAAUAGAAAGCUUGUGCUUUAACAUUAAGCUACAAAAAAUCAAAAGGCAGUCUGCUAUAUUUCCUUUCGGUUUGGUCCUUAUUUCCAUUGCUCAAAGUCUCAAAUUGAAUUAAAAAUUAAAUUAAAGAUCCGUGAAUCAGUUUCUUGAAUUGAAUUUGAUACUAACCUUGUUUGACACUCUCUCUGAAUAAAAACUGCCCUUUA